UACAGAGGUCUCACGCGUUGUUCGGAUUCAUUGGGCGUAAAGGGUGCGUAGGCGGCGCGGUAAGUCGGGUGUGAAAUUUCGAGGCUUAACUUCGAAACUGCAUUCGAUACUGCCGUGCUAGAGGACUGGAGAGGAGACUGGAAUUUACGGUGUAGCGGUGAAAUGCGUAGAUAUCGUAAGGAAGACCAGUGGCGAAGGCGGGUCUCUGGACAGUUCCUGACGCUGAGGCACGAAGGCCAGGGGAGCAAACGGG
rnacentral:rRNA from 1 species